UACGAAGGGGGCUAGCGUUGCUCGGAAUCACUGGGCGUAAAGCGCACGUAGGCGGAUCUUUAAGUCAGGGGUGAAAUCCUGGAGCUCAACUCCAGAACUGCCUUUGAUACUGAGGAUCUUGAGUCCGGGAGAGGUGAGUGGAACUGCGAGUGUAGAGGUGAAAUUCGUAGAUAUUCGCAAGAACACCAGUGGCGAAGGCGGCUCACUGGCCCGAUACUGACGCUGAGGCACGAAAGCGUGGGGAGCAAACAGG
rnacentral:rRNA from 1 species